GACGAACCGAGCGAACGUUCUUCGGAAUCACUGGGCUUAAAGGGCGCGUAGGCGGGCCGUCAAGUCAGGGGUGAAAGCCCCCAGCUCAACUGGGGAAGUGCCUUUGAUACUGACGGCCUCGAGGGAGAUAGGGGCGUGCGGAACUUCCGGUGGAGCGGUGAAAUGCGUAGAUAUCGGAAGGAACACCGGUGGCGAAAGCGGCGCGCUGGAUCUCUUCUGACGCUGAGGCGCGAAAGCCAGGGGAGCGAACGGG
rnacentral:rRNA from 1 species